rnacentral:rRNA from 1 species
AUGACUCUCGGCAACGGAUAUCUCGGCUCUUGCAUCGAUGAAGAACGUAGCGAAAUGCGAUACUUGGUGUGAAUUGCAGAAUCCCGUGAACCAUCGAGUCUUUGAACGCAAGUUGCGCCCGAAGCCAUUAGGUUGAGGGCACGCCUGCCUG